GUCAAAACUUAUGAUGACGGAGGUUUUGAGGUACAGAUGUUUUAGCCUGAUUACUUCGAGUUCUCAUAAAAUUGGUGGAAUUGUGUGCAUCGGGGAAAUGCAACAGUGAUUCACGUUACCCAGAAAGGAUACUAGAAGUGAUGUUUAUCCCAUUUCCAAACCCAAAAUCACAUAAAGAUUAAUAAGGCGUGUGGUAGGCCCCACAGUAUAGUAAGAGCAGAAUGGACCGGCACACAAAAUUCAUUGGAUAUACUUGUAACAGCAGCACAAGUCAGAGAAUUUACAAGACCAGUUUACAACAUCAGAAAAUGCCUUUCAUCAACAGAGAAUACUUAAUCAUCACCUGCAACUCCAGUUAUCAAUGGAAGCCCAAGAUUAACCCCACCAACCGGCCUCCCUUUUUGACAUUAACAGUACUCUAUAGCAAGAGAAAAAAAACCAGGGUUGUUUUUAUAUUAUAUCAAUUUGAGAUAUGCCACAUUUUGUACUUUGUUAGAGUUUUUUUUAUACAUCUGAGCAAAUUCCCCAGUGUGUAAAAAAAGGAGGGACAUAACAAAUAUGACAAAACAAUCGCAGUUGUUAUUAACACUGAUGAGGCUGAGACAUAAUUUUGAAAUCAAGGACUUGACAUCAAGAUUUUGUAUUUCAACACAGUGUAUCAGUGAUGUAUUCUGUGCCUGAAUUGACCUUAUGUUGUGUUAGGUUGUGUUUCAAUAUAGUCCUAUAGGAAUGAUAUUAACAACAUGACAACUGAAUAAAAGCUCAAUUCCCAACAAAGAUCGCUAUCAUUGAUUGUGCAGAAAGGAAAUCACAGAAACCAUCUUCUUUAAAACUGCAGUUACAAAUUAUACAUUCUGACUACAGAUCAGCUACAACCUAAAGGGGACUUGUGGAUUGUGAUCCUUUAGGGGACACAAUGGAAACUAGCUGUAUGCUAAUUUGUGUUAUCUUGGAUAAAUAAAGGCUAUUAUUAUUAUCA